AUCUUAGUGCAAGGGUUUUACACGUAGCAAUGAGAGUCCGCUCGAGAUUGUGUUUUUGCUAGUUGAAAACUACAAACCUGACUGCUCCUACUGAACUUUAUUGUCGGUAGGGAAUUUUUGGAACACAAACUCUCGU
rnacentral:snRNA from 1 species